rnacentral:rRNA from 1 species
UACAGAGGUGCCAAGCGUUAGGCGGAAUCACUGGGCUUAAAGCGCGUGUAGGCGGGUCGUUAAGUGUCCGAGUGAAAUCCCACGGCUCAACCGUGGAACUGCCGGGCAUACUGGCGAUCUUGAGGCAUUCAGGGGCGAGCGGAACAAAUGGUGGAGCGGUGAAAUGCGUAGAUAUCAUUUGGAACGCCAAUGGUGAGAACAGCUCGCUGGGAAUGAUCUGACGCUGAGACGCGAAAGCCAGGGGAGCGAACGGG